AUGGCCGGAGGAGUUGAGGAAGAGGUGAGGAGGAAGGUUUUGGCUCUGUUGAAGGAGGCAAAGGCGACAAUACAGCAAAUCGAGCUGUUGCUAGGCCAAACGCCCAAGGUGGACGGUCCAGAUGCUCAACGAUUCGGCAAGCGGCAGCUGGAAUUCGAACAAACAGAGGAGGAAGAAGAGGAGGAGAUCUCUGGCGAGGACUGCGCUGGAGACUGGCUGGAUGCCCUCAGUAAGGAGGACCUGCUCGAGUACGUCAACAGAUUUGAUGGCGGCGACGCUAACCAAGGUUCGCUCGUGACCCAGGAUGUCGAUGUCGGCGUCCGUGUAGAAGAUGCCUCACCCAUGCCGCUUAGUUUUGUUCAUCACGGCGUCCAUGUGGGCUGA
rnacentral:rRNA from 1 species